rnacentral:rRNA from 1 species
GAUCAUGGCUCAGAACGAACGCUGGUGGCGUGUCUUAUACAUGCAAGUCGAGCGAGGCAGCAAUGCCGAGCGGCGAACGGGUGAGUAACGCGUAAGCAAUCUGCCCCAUAUCAGGAAAUACCCGUGCCAACGCGCGGUUAAUGUCCAGGAGAGUGGCCUUCCGCAUGGAGGGUUGACUAGAGAUUUAUCGGUAUGGGAUGAGCUUGCGUCCGAUUAGCUAGUUGGCGGGGCAACGGCCCACCAAGGCGACGAUCGGUAGCCGGCCUGAGAGGGUGAUCGGCCACAUUGGGACUGAGAUACGGCCCAGACUCCUACGGGAGGCAGCAGUAGGGAAUAUUGCACAAUGGGGGAAACCCUGAUGCAGCAACGCCACGUGUGGGAAGAAGCAUUUCGGUGUGUAAACCACUGUCAUGAGGGAAUAAGGCCCGCCUUCGGACGGACUUGAAUGUACCUUGAGAGGAAGCACCGGCAACUUCGUGCCAGCAGCGGC